AAUGAACGCUGGCGGCGUGCCUAACACAUGCAAGUCGGAUGUGCCGCAAGGUGCAUGGCAGACGGGUGAGUAACGCGUGGGGAACCUACCUCUUCGUGGGGAAUAACGAUCCGAAAGGAUUGGUAAUACCGCAUGAGACCGACGGCUGGGAUGCUGUCGGUGAAAGCUGGGGACCGGAAACGGCCUGGCGCGAGGAGAGGGUCCUGCGUCUGAUUAGCUAGUUGGUGGGGUAACGGCCUACCAAGGCAUCGAUCAGUAGCCGGCCUGAGAGGGUGAUCGGCCACACUGGAACUGAGACACGGUCCAGACUCCUACGGGAGGCAGCAGUGGGGAAUUUUGCGCAAUGGACGAAAGUCUGACGCAGCAACGCCGCGUGGGUGAUGAAGGUCUUCGGAUUGUAAAACCCUGUCGUCGGGGACGAAGGUAGGGGGGUUAAUAGCCCUUUGCUUGACGGUACCCGGAGAGGAAGCCCGGGCUAACUCUGUGCCAGCAGCCGCGUAGUAA
rnacentral:rRNA from 1 species